CAGCCGCCGCGGUAAUACAGAGGGUGCGAGCGUUAAUCGGAUUUACUGGGCGUAAAGCGUGCGUAGGCGGCUUCUUAAGUCGGAUGUGAAAUCCCUGAGCUUAACUUAGGAAUUGCAUUCGAUACUGGGAAGCUAGAGUAUGGGAGAGGAUGGUAGAAUUCCAGGUGUAGCGGUGAAAUGCGUAGAGAUCUGGAGGAAUACCGAUGGCGAAGGCGGCCCCCUGGACAAAGACUGACGCUCAGGUGCGAAAGCGUGGGGAGCAAACAGGAUUAGAUACCCCCGUAGUCCCUGUCUCUUAUAA
rnacentral:rRNA from 1 species